AGAGUUUGAUCCUGGCUACAGAACACGCUGGCGGCAGGCCUAAUACAUGCAAGUCGAGCGGGUGUAGCAAUACAUCAGCGGCGCACGGGUGCGUAACACGUGGGAAUAUGCCUCUUGGUGCGGAAUAACACAGGGAAACUUGUGCUAAUACCGCAUAAUGACUCCGGUCCAAAGAUUUAUCGCCAAGAGAUUAGCCCGCGUCUGAUUAGCUAGUUGGUGAGGUAACGGCUCACCAAGGCAACGAUCAGUAGCUGGUCUUAGAGGAUGAUCAGCCACACUGGAACUGAGACACGGUCCAGACUCCUACGGGAGGCAGCAGUAAGGAAUAUUGGACAAUGGGCGAAAGCCUGAUCCAGCCAUGCCGCGUGAGUGAUGAAGGCCUUCGGGUUGUAAAGCUCUUUUGUCUGGGACGAUGAUGACGGUACCGGAAGAAUAAGCCCCGGCUAACUUCGUG
rnacentral:rRNA from 1 species